ACAACAUUUCUCAGUUUUUCUUUCCCUUUCUCUCAGCUCUCAAAAAUAGAAAAACGCCCCCUUUUCUUUUUAGAACCAAAUGAAAUUUACUUACAGUGUUCUAAAAAGUUACUAUUUUUUUAUUGAAAUUUAAUUUCUAAUACUACCACCGAACGCACAAAGCAAAAGCACUGUUAGCGUUGGUGUUGGAGAAGAGUUGUUUCUCUCUCUUCUUUCUACUUUCUGCUACAACACGACGACACACUCCGUGCUGGCAAAGAUUCCUUCAUUCUCUUCCUUCCUUUCUCCUACCCUAAAAUUUUCCCCACCAACAUUCACUCUUAACAUGUUUUCUGUUUUCUUCAUCUAAAAACCACUUCCUUUUUUCUUCAAUUAUUAGGAGGGGUUAUUAUGGGAUGUUCUAGUUCAAAGUUAGAUGAUCUUCCGGCAGUUGCUCUUUGCCGGGAAAGAUGUGCCUUUUUAGACGAAGCGAUUCGACAGCGUUUUGCUCUAGCCGAAGCUCAUGUUGCUUACACUGCGUCUUUGAAGUCAUUUGGUCAGUCUUUGAAUAAUUUCGUGGGGCAUGAUUUUGGAACUUCUUCAGGGGCGCUACCUCCUUCUCCUCCGUCGCCCAAUAAACUUAAAAGCAAAGCCGUUGAUCCAAUUGCCGUUGGCCCAAGUUCUCCCAAGAAGGGUCAUCACCAUUCCCAUUCCAAUUCUGGUUCUCAUCUUCACUUCCAUUCCGAUUCGGAUGAAGAUGACUCCGGCGGCUCUUUGCACCAUUCAGACCAUUCUUCGCCUUUGCACGACGAUGGUGGUGGUCAUAUAGAGUAUAUGCACCCAAACUAUCCUAAUUAUGGACCUCUUGAAUCUGGGUCUUUUCCCGGCGGCUUUAUGCAUAUGAAUUUUAUGAGGAAGCAACCAACACCGUCGAUUGUUUAUGAACAAAGGCCUAUGAAUCCGGAGACUGUUUAUAUGGGUGAAUCUUCAUCUUCUUCUUAUUAUCCUCACUCUUAUAUGAGUAACAAUAAUCCUAGUUCUAGUUCAUACCCUUAUCAAGGUUACCCCAAUUACGGUGGUUUUAGUAAUUAUUCUUCUUAUUCGGCGCCUGGUUAUGAGUCUUCACUGCAACCGGCGGCGGGGUCAUCCUCGAAACCACCACCGCCUCCACCUUCGCCUCCGAGAGCUUCAGCUUGGGAUUUCUUGAACCCUUUCGAGAGCUAUGAAAGCUAUUAUCCUCCGUUUACACCGGCUAGGAAUUCAAGAGAAGUUAGAGAAGAGGAAGGGAUCCCUGAGUUGGAAGAUGAGGAUUAUCAACAUGAAGUAGUUAAAGAAGUGCAUGGAGACCAGAAAUUUGUUGAUAGCGGUGGUUAUUCCAAGCCCCCAGUUAAAGAUGAGGAUGGGAAAGUUGCUGCUAGUGAGGCAGAGGCUUCGCUUUAUCAGACACGGCCGAGUGUUGGGGUUGAAAAUGAUAGGGUGGAAUAUGAGGUUCAUGUGGUGGAUAAGAAAGUGGUGGAUGAUGAGAGGGCUGAGGAGCGUGGUACCGGGUCAAGGGGCGCUCCAAAGGAUGUUUUUGAGGUGAUUAGAGAGAUACAGGUUCAGUUUGUGAGAGCUGCCGAGUCAGGGACUGAAAUUGCCAAGCUGCUUGAGGUUGGAACACUUCCUCAUCACCGCAAACAUGUUUCCAAGAUUUUGCAUGUAGUUACUCCUUCGUUAUCUGUAGUACCAUCUCAUCCAUCUACUUCUCAGACUGGCGAGUCUUCUUCGUCUGCUGACAACACUGAUCCAGCUUUUCUAGACAUCAAUGAGGAAAUGGCCAGGAAAACGAAAAACCUUUCCGCUACUUUGCAGAAGUUGCAUCUUUGGGAAAAGAAGCUCUACAAUGAAGUAAAGGCUGAGGAGAAGAUGCGGGUAGCUUACGACAGGAAAUCUCAGAAGUUAAGGCAACUAGAUCAAAGGGGUGCUGAAGCUAAUAAAAUUGAGUCAACCCGGAAUACAAUCAGGGGCCUGUCCACGAAGAUAAGAAUAGCAAUUCAAGUUGUUGACAAGAUAUCUGUGACAAUUAAUAAGAUCAGGGAUGAGGAACUAUGGCCACUGCUCAAUGAACUGAUUGAAGGGUUAGACAGAAUGUGGAAAUCAAUGCUUGAAUGUCAUCGUAAUCAGUGUCAGGUAGUUAGAGAAGCCAAAACUUUAGGUCUCAUUGGAUCUGGCAAAAAACUCAGUGAUGAUCAUCUUAAGGCCACAUUGCAGUUCGAGCAUGAACUUAUUAGUUGGACUAUAAGAUUCUCAAGUUGGAUAGAUGCCCAGAAGGGUUAUGUAAGAGGUUUGAAUAAUUGGCUACUAAAAUGUCUUUACUAUGAACCCGAAGUAACUGAUGAUGGAGUAGCUCCCUUCUCACCUAGUAGAAUAGGCGCACCACCCAUAUUUGUAAUAUGUAACCAGUGGUCACAAGCAAUGGAUAGGAUAUCAGAAAGGGAGGUGAUCAACUCUAUGCGGGUUUUAGUGACUGGUGUGCUCCAGCUUUGGGAACAAGAUAAGUCAGAAAUGCAUCGGAGGAUGAUGGCCAAUAAGGAUUUAGAGAGGAAGGCUAGGAAUUUGGAUAGAGAGGAUCAGAAGUUGCAGAAAGAUAUCCAAGCAUUAGAUAAGAAAAUUGUUUUGGUCUCUGGAGAUGGUAGCAGUCUCUCGGUAGCUGGAAAUGUUGUGUAUCAGAGUGAGACUAGCAACAGUAGUUUGCAGGGGGGCUUGCAACGCAUAUUUGAGGCAAUGGAAAACUUCAGUUCCGAGUCCUCCAAAGUCUAUGAGGAACUUUUGCAGCGUGUUAAAGAAAGGACUGCUGAAGAGCAUGAGACAGUAUCAUAGGACCCACUAAAACAAAAUGACUAUGGCAUCCCUUGGAACUGAUGAUCAGUUUAGGCAGUCUAUUGUCCUCUCAGAAAUGGAGCUCAGUGUUGGGUUGGACGGGUCCUGCAAACAUACAAUUUGGCUGGUUGCUGUACUGUCGGGGGGGCUUGCAACGCAUAUUUGAGGCAAUGGAAAACUUCAGUUCCGAGUCCUCCAAAGUCUAUGAGGAACUUUUGCAGCGUGUUAAAGAAAGGAUUGCUGAAGAGCAUGAGACAGUAUCAUAGGAACCACUAAAACAAAAUGACAUAGGAACCACUAAAACAAAAUGACUAUGGCAUCCCUUGGAACUGAUGAUCAGUUUAGGCAGUCCAUUGUCCUCUCAGAAAUGGAGCUCAGUGUUGGGUUGGACGGGUCCUGCAAACAUACAACUUGGCUGGUUGCUCUACUGUCAGGGAAGACUUAAUUGUGAAUGAGUUGGAAGAGACAUAAGAUGGGAGCCAACCUUGGCAUUGUUAGAUGAUUCAUCAUCUGCCUUACAGGAGUAGGUUUUGGAUGGGCUUAUGGCAUGGACUGUCAAGCUUGUCAAGAGCCGAAGACAGAUAUUGCAUUUCCAAAAUCUCAGUCAAGGUGCAACUCUAUAUAUCCUGUCCAGUCGGCAUGAAGCAACACUCGUAUCAUUGAAGAAUAUCAGGCAAAGAAAAGCAGCUGGUGUGCCAAACCAUUGGAGAAACCAGUUGACACCCUGCAAAUUGAAAGCAAUGUGAAUAAAAAGAUGGUGUUAAGAGGAAACCAAAAUGAAAUUGUUGAAAGGCAGUUGGGAAUGAAAAGGUAAAUAAUGCAGUAGAAAGAUCCGAGGAAUAAUAAACAUUGUCAGGUUGAUGUGAUGCUACACUUGUGGUGCAAUGUUUUUCAAAAUAAUUGUACCAAAACAAGUACAGUUUCAAUGGUAUUUUAGACUAGAAUCGACGAGCAAAAGAAGGGCCAAAACAAACCCGACGUCAGGAUAAGGAGCGUCGGGACAACGUGAUGGACGAUGUUGUGUCGAGAUGAGUGGGACGUUGCGACGUCACGAGUGUUCUCCAAUUUAGCACCCGCAUUUUAAACUUCAAGCAUGACUUAUUCUCCCAAUUAGAUUCUGAUUAUUUCAAGGAUAUUCUAGUAUGAUUUGACCUCUAGUUUUAGCCUAUUUAAAGGACUCUUGUGUCCAUGUUUAUAUAUGUCAAUCAGUAAGAGUUUUUUUUCUUGAGGGCGAUAAGAUGUAGUCGCAUAUGAGUUUUGAUGAGAGUUUUGUGAUAAUUAUGGAGAGUAUUUUAUAUAUUUUUUGUGAGUGCCCUAUGAGAUUUAGAGCUUUGUUUACCGAUUUGCUUUUUGGGAUUUUGAGCUUUGUAUUCGGGGUUUUGGGUAUUGUACGUUUAGUACUUUUAGAUUUAUUUUCUUCAUAUUAUACUCUCAUUUGUUUA